rnacentral:rRNA from 1 species
CGUCCGUACCGCUACCGGCACAGGUAGAUGAGAUGAGUAUUCUAAGGCGCCAGAAAGAACUCUGGUUAAGGAACUCUGCAAACUAGCACCGUAAGUUCGCGAUAAGGUGUGCCGCAGCAAUGCGGUCUCAGCAAAGAGUCCCUCCCGACUGUUUACCAAAAACACAGCACUUUGCCAACUCGUAAGAGGAAGUAUAAGGUGUGACGCCUGCCCGGUGCUCGAAGGUUAAGAGGAUGCGUCAGUCGCAAGAUGAAGCGUUGAAUUGAAGCCCGAGUAAACGGCGGCCGUAACUAUAACGGUCCUAAGGUAGCGAAAUUCCUUGUCGGUUAAAUACCGACCUGCAUGAAUGGCGUAACGAGAUGGGAGCUGUCUCAACCAGAGAUUCAGUGAAAUUGUAGUGGAGGUGAAAAUUCCUCCUACCCGCGGCAAGACGGAAAGACCCCGUGGACCUUUACUACAACUUAGCACUGCUAACGGGAAUAUCAUGCGCAGGAUAGGUGGGAGGCUUUGAAGUAAGGGCUUUGGCUCUUAUGGAGCCAUCCUUGAGAUACCACCCUUGAUGUUUCUGUUAGCUAACUGGCCUGUGUUAUCCACAGGCAGGACAAUGCUUGGUGGGUAGUUUGACU